AGCGAACGCUGGCGGCAGGCCUAACACAUGCAAGUCGAACGAACUCUUCGGAGUUAGUGGCGGACGGGGGAGGAACACGGGGGAACGUGCCCGUAGGUUCGGAAUAACUCAGGGAGACAUGUGCUAAUACCGCAUGUGCUCUUCGGGGGAAAGAGUUUUCGCCUUUAGAGCGGCCCGCGUCUGUUUAGCUGGUUGGGGAGGUAAAGGCGGACCAAGGCGACGAUCAGUAGCUGGUCUGGGAGGAUGCUCCGUCACAUUGGGACUGCGGCACGGCCCAAACCCCUACGGGAGGCAGCAGUGGGGAGUCUUAUGGAAUGGGCGCAAGCGUGACGCCGCCGCGCCGCGUAAAUGAUGCAGGUCUUUGGAUUGUAAAUUUCUUUCUGCGGAGGCGAGAAUGACGGUACCCGGAGAAGAAGCCCCGGCUAACUUCGUG
rnacentral:rRNA from 1 species